rnacentral:rRNA from 1 species
AGGACGAACGCUGGCGACGUGCUUAACACAUGCAAGUCGAGCGGAAAGGCCCUUCGGGGUACUCGAGCGGCGAACGGGUGAGUAACACGUGAGCAACCUGCCCUUAGCUUCGGGAUAGCUCCGGGAAACCGGAAUUAAAUACCGAAUAUGACUUUGGCUGACAUCAGCAGAAGUGGAAAGUUUUUCGGCUAGGGAUGGACUCGCGGCCUAUCAGCUAGUUGGUGAGGUAACGGCCCACCAAGGCGACGACGGGUA